CCUACGGGAGGCAGCAGUGAGGAAUAUUGGUCAAUGGCCGCAAGGCUGAACCAGCCAAGUCGCGUGAAGGAAGAAGGUUCUAUGGUUUGUAAACUUCUUUUAUCAGGGAACAAAGGUAUCCACGUGUGGCUAUUUGCGUGUACCUUAAGAAAAAGCAUCGGCUAACUCCGUGCCAGCAGCCGCGGUAAUACGGAGGAUGCGAGCGUUAUCCGGAUUUAUUGGGUUUAAAGGGUGCGUAGGUGGGUUGUAAAGUCAGCGUGAAAAGGUCGGGGCUCAACCCAAGUGGGCCGUUGAAACGGGAGGACUGGAGUGUGUUAGAGGUAGGCGGAAGGAGUGGGGUAGCGGUGAAAUGCAUAGAGAUCACGCAGAACUCCGAUUGCGAAGGCAGCUUACUGAGCCAUAACUGACGCUGAGGCACGAAAGCGUGGGGAUCAAACAGGAUUAGAUACCCUUGUAGUC
rnacentral:rRNA from 1 species